UGUUAGGAUUAAUCUUGUCUAGCCGAGCUGAGAGAGUCAGUUAGUUUGUUAGCUGCGUGAGGGUCGUGUGCCUAGAGUGAUUCUAGGAGGAAGAAGUGGUCAAGAUAAGAUUAGAUGGGUGCAUGUGAAGUGGCGUGAGUGGGUCAGUUUGUUAGAGAUUAGUCUGUACGUGAUGUUAGUGGCCGAGAGUGGCCGCUGGGCAAUACGUGUGUGAGUCUAUUUAAGCAGUGUAAUCCCGUUUGGUUGAAUCAAUGAGAAGAUAGAAAAUGUAGCACUUGUGGCUGCCAAAGGAGAGAGUCUCAACGAAGCUUUUGUUCUUUUCUUUGGCUAGUGUGUGUGCGUGUGAGUUUACAACCAUGUCUGCGUGUGUUCUUAUGAGACAAAGAGAGAAGGUUGAGCUGUGAGAGGCAGCAAGAGGUGGAACAAGCGGCGCUGCGAGGAGGCGGCGCCAACAAUUGGUAUCAGAGCCAGGUUGUCUUGGGCGUCGUUGCUCUUGCCGGCCGGAGGCGUGCCGACGAUGGCGGCGUCCGUCGGCGGCGCGCGAUGAAGUUCCGGGCCGUGUGUCGGCCUAUGGAGGUGCGCGGCACCGCGGCGAGCGCGGCGGCGCUGCACGGCGGCAUGGAGGCCAUGGAGCUCCUGCGUGGUGGCGCGGUGGACUCCAUGUGACGCGGAGGUCGAUGGCGCGAGGUGGAGAUCGGCGGCGGCGUGGUGCCGCUGGUGGCCGGUUGCGGUGUGAUGCCGCUAGAUUCAGCCGGCGUGAUGAUCUGCGUCGAGAAGUGUCGUGCACGUCAAGAGGUGGUCGCUGCGUGCGGCAACACGACAUGGUGAUCGGCGUAGCGAAGGCGUCGUCCACAUCAAGAGGAGGCCACGACGUGAUGCUGUGGCGACAAGGAGACUGCGGUGCGAUGCCGCGAGGAGGAGGCGGCGGUGUGAUGCCGCCACAAGAAGGAGACGGUGCGAUGCUUCUCGGUGCGGCAGCGGCAGGAUGCCGUUGGGCGCUAGCAACGGCAGUGUGAUGCUGCCACGAGAAGACGAUGGUGAGAUGCCGUUCCAAGAAGACGGCAGUGAGAUGCUGCUGAGAAGAUGUACGGCGGCGCGAGGUCGUCAUGAGGAUCAGCGCAAAGCUAGUCGACGGUGGUGUGAUGCCAUCGUCGUCAUGAAGUUAUCCUCGGUGGUGUGAUGCCAUCCCCAAGAUGAGUCGCUGUGACGCCGGCGGCAAGACGUACAUGACCAGGUGCGUUGCCGGUGCAAGUGGAGAUCCAUGCCGCGGUGACAGGCGCUGUGACGGCGUCAUCCACAGCGAGAUGCCCUGUGUGGUCUUGGUGCUGCGAAGGCAAAGUUCAUGGCAAGAGGUUUGCAGGUGAUCUGCAUCAAGAUUAGAGGAGUUGACAUGACAAGAUUAGGGAGGUGAAUGUUAGGAUUAAUCUUGUCUAGCCGAGCUGAGAGAGUCAGUUAGUUUGUUAGCUGCGUGAGGGUCGUGUGCCUAGAGUGAUUCUAGGAGGAAGAAGUGGUCAAGAUAAGAUUAGAUGGGUGCAUGUGAAGUGGCGUGAGUGGGUCAGUUUGUUAGAGAUUAGUCUGUACGUGAUGUUAGUGGCCGAGAGUGGCCGCUGGGCAAUACGUGUGUGAGUCUAUUUAAGCAGUGUAAUCCCGUUUGGUUGAAUCAAUGAGAAGAUAGAAAAUGUAGCACUUGUGGCUGCCAAAGGAGAGAGUCUCAACGAAGCUUUUGUUCUUUUCUUUGGCUAGUGUGUGUGCGUGUGAGUUUACAACCAUGUCUGUGUGUGUUCUUAUGAGACAAAGAGAGAAGGUUGAGCUGUGAGAGGCAGCAAGAGGUGGAAGAAGCGGCGCUGCGAGGAGGCGGCGCCAACA
rnacentral:lncRNA from 1 species